GACGUAGGGUGCGAGCGUUGUCCGGAUUUAUUGGGCGUAAAGAGCUCGUAGGCGGCUCGUCGCGUCGACCGUGAAAACCCGCGGCUUAACUGCGGGCUUGCGGUUGAUACGGGCGGGCUAGAGUUCGGUAGGGGGAGACUGGAAUUCCUGGUGUAGCGGUGAAAUGCGCAGAUAUCAGGAGGAACACCGGUGGCGAAGGCGGGUCUCUGGGCCGAUACUGACGCUGAGGAGCGAAAGCGUGGGGAGCGAACAGG
rnacentral:rRNA from 1 species